GGAGGCGUACUGCAGUCGACGGUACAGGAAGAGCUUGCUUCUUUGCUGACGAGUGGCGGACGGGUGAGUAAUGUCUGGGAAACUGCCUGAUGGAGGGGGAUAACUACUGGAAACGGUAGCUAAUACCGCAUAACGUCGCAAGACCAAAGAGGGGGACCUUCGGGCCUCUUGCCAUCGGAUGUGCCCAGAUGGGAUUAGCUAGUAGGUGGGGUAACGGCUCACCUAGGCGACGAUCCCUAGCUGGUCUGAGAGGAUGACCAGCCACACUGGAACUGAGACACGGUCCAGACUCCUACGGGAGGCAGCAGUGGGACCCC
rnacentral:rRNA from 1 species